UCCUAUCAUCCUUGUGAAUCUUACCUUACUGUUGCUUCGGCGGGUUGGCGGCGUCUUUAAAGCGCGCCGCCACGGCCAGCCGAACGGUGGUCUUCUCCGCCGUUUCGGUGCCGGCCAGCCUGCCGGAGACACCAAAAUUCAAACUCUUUUAGUGGCCUCUCUGAGUAACGAUUUACAAAUCAGUUAAAACUUUCAACAACGGAUCUCUUGGCUCUAGCAUCGAUGAAGAACGCAGCGAAAUGCGAUAAGUAAUGUGAAUUGCAGAAUUCAGUGAAUCAUCGAAUCUUUGAACGCACAUUGCGCCCGCUAGUAUUCUGGCGGGCAUGCCUGUUCGAGCGUCAUUGCAACCCUCAAGCCUUCGUCGCUUGGUGUUGGAGCGCCGCGGUCUCAGCGCCGCGGGCUUCGAAAAGCAGUGGCGGGCUCGCCGCGAACCCGAACGCAGUAAAUUUCUCUCGUUCCGGGCGUUGCGGUGGGUGCCGGCCGACCAUCAAACUACACCAGUUUNGACCUCGGAUCAGGUA
rnacentral:rRNA from 1 species